AGUGAACGCUGGCGGCAGGCCUAACACAUGCAAGUCGAACGGCAGCACAGUAAGAGCUUGCUCUUACGGGUGGCGAGUGGCGGACGGGUGAGGAAUACAUCGGAAUCUACUUUUUCGUGGGGGAUAACGUAGGGAAACUUACGCUAAUAUCGCAUACGACCUACGGGUGAAAGCAGGGGAUCUUCGGACCUUGCGCGAAUGAAUGAGCCGAUGUCGGAUUGGCUAGUUGGCGGGGUAAAGGCCCACCAAGGCGACGAUCCGUAGCUGGUGUGAGAGGCUGAUCAGCCACCCUGGAGCUGAGACACGGUCCUGGGUCCUACGGGAGGCCGCAGUGGGGAAUGUUGGACAAUGGGCGCAAGCCUGAUCCAGCGGUACCGCGUGGGUGAAGAAGGCCUUCGGGUUGUAAAGCCCUUUUGUUGGGAAAGAACAGCAGCAGGUUAAUACCACGCUGUUCUGACGGUACCCGAAGAAUAAGCACCGGCUAACUUCGUG
rnacentral:rRNA from 1 species